UGCCAGCCUAGGGUAGCUCCCGAAUUAGCGGUAUCCUCACCGCUUGGCUGGUAAAUUUAACGAGGG
rnacentral:sRNA from 1 species